GCAAGUCGAGCGGACAGAAGGGAGCUUGCUCCCGGAUGUUAGCGGCGGACGGGUGAGUAACACGUGGGUAACCUGCCUGUAAGACUGGGAUAACUCCGGGAAACCGGAGCUAAUACCGGAUAGUUCCUUGAACCGCAUGGUUCAAGGAUGAAAGACGGUUUCGGCUGUCACUUACAGAUGGACCCGCGGCGCAUUAGCUAGUUGGUGGGGUAAUGGCUCACCAAGGCGACGAUGCGUAGCCGACCUGAGAGGGUGAUCGGCCACACUGGGACUGAGACACGGCCCAGACUCCUACGGGAGGCAGCAGUAGGGAAUCUUCCGCAAUGGACGAAAGUCUGACGGAGCAACGCCGCGUGAGUGAUGAAGGUUUUCGGAUCGUAAAGCUCUGUUGUUAGGGAAGAACAAGUGCGAGAGUAACUGCUCGCACCUUGACGGUACCUAACCAGAAAGCCACGGCUAACUACGUGCCAGCAGCCGCGGUAAUACGUAGGUGGCAAGCGUUGUCCGGAAUUAUUGGGCGUAAAGGGCUCGCAGGCGGUUUCUUAAGUCUGAUGUGAAAGCCCCCGGCUCAACCGGGGAGGGUCAUUGGAAACUGGGAAACUUGAGUGCAGAAAAGGAGAGUGGAAUUCCCCGUGUAGCGGUGAAAUGCGUAGAGA
rnacentral:rRNA from 1 species